GAAACAACCGGGCACAAGUUUUCUUUAAACAACAUGGAUGGACAGAUGGUGGUAAAAUUGAAGCAAAGUAUACGUCAAGAGCUGCUGAAUUAUACAAGCAGCUAUUAUCCAAAGAAGUCGCUAAAAGCUCUGUAGAAGAUACCAUCCUUCCUUCUUCACCUGUUACAUCAUCCCAGCCGUCAGAUACUAUCAAUGGCCUUCCUGAACUUAAGCUUAC
rnacentral:misc_RNA from 1 species